rnacentral:rRNA from 1 species
CCUACGGGUGCGCUGCAGUGGGGAAUAUUGGACAAUGGGCGAAAGCCUGAUCCAGCCAUGCCGCGUGUGUGAAGAAGGCCUUCGGGUUGUAAAGCACUUUCAGUGGGGAAGAAAGCCUUGGGGCUAAUACCCUCGAGGAAGGACAUCACCCACAGAAGAAGCACCGGCUAACUCCGUGCCAGCAGCCGCGGUAAUACGGAGGGUGCGAGCGUUAAUCGGAAUUACUGGGCGUAAAGCGCGCGUAGGCGGUCUGAUAAGCCGGUUGUGAAAGCCCCGGGCUCAACCUGGGAACGGCAUCCGGAAAUGUCCGGCUAGAGUGCAGGAGAGGAAGGUAGAAUUCCCGGUGUAGCGGUGAAAUGCGUAGAGAUCGGGAGGAAUACCAGUGGCGAAGGCGGCCUUCUGGACUGACACUGACGCUGAGGUGCGAAAGCGUGGGUAGCAAACAGGAUUAGAUACCCGUGUAGUC